GUGGGUUGAAAUUGCACUAUAUGUACAGUCUCUGUACUUCUUAGUUUUUGUGUGGAUCAAAGGUUCUCAAAAAUUUGUUUUUAAAAAGAGCAUCUUCAUACCCCAGGCCUGCUUUGUCGGAAUCUAUUGUUAGUGCCAGAAACACCUAGUUAUAUCAUUGUCCUUAAUGUUUUAGCUCAUAAUUGAGAACACACAGCCAUCAUGCUAAGCAACAGUCUGAGAGUGCUCACAUGGUCCAGUACAUGGAACUGGGACGGGAUGAGACGCCACAACCUCUACGAGAGAAGAAGGCAUCACCAAGUUGAGAAGGCACAUUUAACCCUUCACUUACACUACUUUGGAAGGAGGGGAUUAGGACUUGCCUGAUUGUGGGUGACAACAGAGAAGAUGGGAGUAAUGACUGAGUCGUGGAGGAGACUCACAGAAGCAGAAGCAGAUGAGACUUCUUAAGAGGUGGACAUGUCCUCAGGAACUUUCCAGACUUUGCAGUGUCUUUGAAAAUGAGAUUCUUUCCAGCUACGAUUCUGAGCCUCGCUGCCUCCUUCUGAGACACUGCUCUCACUCCAGUGUGUCUCUAAGUAGAGUCUCCUGAUGAAGGAAACACAUCCCUAAACCCUUAAGAGUCAUUGCAGUGGGAAUGUCAAUCCUAUUUUUCUUCAUGUGACAAGUAUCACGUUUUGGAGUUAUGGGUGAGUGAAGGCAUCACGGUGUGUACUUGCAUGCCAGUUCUGUCACUCAGAAUACCUCAAGUUCAAGGAAGGAACAGCUCUUGUAUAAGUUGGGGAGAAGAUGGGAAGAUGGAUGGAUUCCAAGUAGACACCGAGUGAGACUCGGAGGUGCACUGUUUAUCUGUUCUCUCCAACAAAAAGCAAUCGCCAGCCAACAGGUUCUUUUUAAUACUAGUCUAGACGAGGUUUUGCAAUGUUGCAGGUUCUUAAUUGCAGUAAUUACUGCCUGGGAACAAUUAAGCAGUCACUACCAAACAUUUCUAUUGGGUGAAUCUAGUGUCCUAUUAAUAAACAGUCAUGAAGUUAUCUCUCUCUGGAAAAACCUCCCCGGCUGGUUCCAUACUACAGAAAUCUCAAGCCGGGUUUGUUCCCACACAUUCAGAGUCCGUGGAGCAGCUGUGUCUGCCUGAGCCAGAAAUGGUCGCCGUUCCUCUGAGAGCCCAGAGGCAGGUUCUGCAGCUGCCUGCUACUGUGACUGUGUUCUUGUUACUAAUUAAAGGUAGUAGCUGUGAAUUCAGUGUGAGAGACAAUAAGCACCCAUCACUUAUGCACAGAUGACCUGGAUUUGCCUUCCGCAAAUCCUGCUUCCCUCAGCCGGGCUCCUUGCAAAUUAAAUCUUUUCUCAAGGGAAGCAAUUUCUAAUCUUUAGAUCAAAGCCAAAUCUGAAAGAUAGCUUUUUUUUCCGAAUCAUAAAUUUCAUAUUCUAAAUUACCAUUUUAUCUACAACCACCUACUCCAGCGUUCUAGCUGGGGUGAAGUCGCUUUUUGUUUCCCUGUUCAUUUUCGUGCUGGAUUUAUUAUUUCAGGGGAGUCUCUGAUGGGCACAUUGAACCCUGAGCAGGAGAGGAUAUAUCUGGAUGUAAACUAAAGGGCUUCCGAAGACAUGCUCCCCUAGCUCCCUCAUGCCUCCCUGGCAGACCUUCCCCUCUGAAGAAAACUCCCGCAACACAACAGCAUUUCAGAUCAUCAAAGUGUCUCCAAGUGCCCUGCAAGAGAGCCUCUUGCCAGAGAAGGUGAACCCCAUAGCUCAGCUACCACCGUGUGAGGAGUUCCAACAUGAGAAGUCCACAAGCAAUUUGUCAGUGUUUUCUUCCCUUUGUUUUUCCAAGUCCAAAAAAUUAACAGGGAGGGAAGUGUCAUCAGAUUAUGGAGGCCCUGUCUGUCUGUGUGCCUUGGGUGAUUCCCUCCUCCCCCAUCUGGAAUACACAACGCCAGUCUGUUUCAAAGCACCCCAGCCACAAACAAGAAAUAAACCAUCACAGUCAGGGGAAUAUUUGCAACAGAUAUUCAAUCCAUCUUGAUUUAAAAAAUUCUCAUAAAAACUCCAUUGUUUGUUCCAAUCGACUUCUGAGAGCUCAUGCUGGCAGGGUCAGAAUUUUGGAUGCUAGGGAACAGUAUUGUAUUUAUCAAAAGCUCAGCCAGGAUGGAGAAUCUGAUGCACAUUUGCAAUUGAACCCACUGUGGAGACUUGAGUCAGAGCUCCAAGGCCUUUGGAUCUUUUUACCCUUGGCUUCCUCAGAAAGCAUUUGUUAUGUGACUAGAUGGAGACAACAGAGGGCAUUGCUUAUGCCUAGGAGCUGUAUGGAAAUGGAGCGUGGAGACAGACAGCUCCCAGGCCCUGCCUGUCCCGGUGUUGAGUGAUGACCAUUUCAGUCGCCCCUUCCCUUGUUUGUCACAGUAUGUGAAGGUAUGUCACUUGGGAAGCUCCAGAACUGAACCGGCAAUGUAGCCAGAGCAGAAAGCUGAGGAGGGGUAUGGGACAUGAGAAGUGCAAAUCUUCACUAUGGGAGGCUCCCCAAGACAGUGACCUACAGAUCAGACUCAGAGAGCUGGGCUAGGGAACCUCAGGAACACAGUGAGCUGGGAGAAGACUAAAAUGUAUUAAUAGCAACUCCAAAGGCUGUGUCAAUGUUAAAGCUCUGCUUAAUUCUGUCAUGAACAGUGUGUCUGUUCUAAAGGAGGACCCAGGGCCAGUGAGCUGAAAGACAUCUUUAUCCAACCCACAAACACCUGCUCUGUGCUGGGAACUGUGUACAGAAACAAAGCAGGAUAGCAAAGCAGGACCAGCAAGCCUCCCCAGGUGCCUCUGCUCAUCCAUGCCAGUUUCCAUAGCCUUAUCUUGGCAUGAGGCCUGCUUGAGAGCACCAGCCCUUUCCCCAGGUCCUUUAGGCCAUUCCAUUUGCUUCAAGCCUGAGCUUGGAUGGAUCAGCUUAGUAGUAAGAGCUAUGAGAAAGCCCCGUGAAUGCAGUCCUCUUCUACAGUCUGCACAGAUCCAAGGAGGGCUUCUUGUGCUCCUAGAAAACACAAAAACACACAAAUAUCUAAUAUAUAUAUAUAUAUAUAUAUAAACUUAGUUUAUGUCUCUCUGGGUCUGAAGCAGAUUCUGGAUAAUUUGUGCUAGGAGAUGUUCUGGUAAAAGAAAUGAUACCUUGCUGCAUGGCUAAUAAAAUGUAUCAUCUGUCAGCAUUGAAGAGCCCUUUUUAAUCCUUAAUUAUUAUCAUUAGGCACAAGUGUAAGUGCUCUGGAAUUUCAUCUUGGGGUGGGGCUCUGUGAACUGAUCUUAACUUCCCCAAAGGGCUCUCUGAGAGCAGGAAGCCUGCUCCUGGAGAUCAACACAUCACCACCACCACUCCUUUGAGUGGAGUUAUUUGGGAUUGUUUUAGUGACAACUGGUUGGAUGACAAAACUAUGUAAAUUCUGUGGUUAGAACCACUGAUAGUCUCCUGGUUACAUUGUUUUUGCUAGAUGACUUCCCAACUGAGGUCAUAUAGUCGUCUUUCCAAAACUUGCAAAAGGGAUUCUCAAAAUUCUCCUAAGCUACCAAGCAUCAUUCACAGGCACAAAAUACAAACCCUUUGAAAUGGAAUCUUUAACUUGUUGCAUAAUCUCCUCAUUAGCAAAAUAAACCAAAACUGAAACAAGUGCCAUUGCUAAUGGUACCCUUCUGCUUCUGCCCACCUUUGUGACCAUCCCAUGGGUGUACAGGGCUCCUGCCAUCUGGUUAAGUCUGGGGUGGUUGCUGUGAGAGUUUCAGAAAAAUUAGGAGCCUUUUCAGAGCCUUUUAUAAUCCAAAGAUGGAGUGUCCUCUGGAGAGAUAUGACAAAUAGUUCACAAACACCAAGCUUCUGCCAGACAGAUUUGGGUUUCAAGUCUUUCUCUCCCACUUUCGGGCUGUUGGAAUCAGAAUCCCAAAUUUCAUCUCUCGAUCUGACAUUUCAUCAUCUGCAAACUGAGAGUGUUGAUAACUCCUUUCAGAAGUAGUCAUGACUGGGAAGGAAAAGGACAUUCACUGAGCACAGAAAAUAUUACCAAAGACCAUGCUAAUGAUGGGCGAAUAGUGGUAAGAGAUGGGAUAGAAUAGUUAUAAGCAAAACUAUGUCAUGUGUAUCUGAUAGAAAUAGAUAGAAAUAGAGGGAACCCUGCGGGGUUAAAAUAAUAAAAAAAAAUCUUUUAGAGUAUAGAAGAACCUAAUCUAAUUUUAAAAUUAAAUGUAGGAUUCAGUUAGGGGAGGGUAACAUGUAGACAUUUCAAGUGGACAUUUUAACCAUGCAUAGUAGAAACAUUCAGUCUGCUCUGUGACUUGCUGUAGUAUUCCAUUAAAGGAGUCUUAUUUAAAUAUAUUACUUCACCAAGUGAUUAAUGAGAUCCCAAGAGCGCCCUUUGAGAGACAUCCAUUGGAUAGGCAUCCAUGUUUAGUUUCUCAGCAACAUCUCGUAAUUGUUUGAUUCUAUUAUACUUCAGAGGGAACACCCUUGGAUGUUGCAAAUGAUACAAUUUAAUCCUGAAGGUUAAAGAUAGAAUUAACUUCGUUAAUCCAUUGACCUAAAGUAAAGAGUCUAUCCUGGAUUAUCAGGGGAGACUCCAUAGAAUCACAAUCCUGAAGUAUGGAAAAGGAAUGCAAGCAGAUAGAUGGCAAAUUAAGAUGGCCGACCUUGAAAGAGAAGGAAGGGUUCUUGAGUCAAUGAAUGCAGGCAGUCUGUAGAACUAAAAAGACAAAGAAAUUGCUUCCAUCCAAGAAGAGGCCAAUAGCAUCUUGGCUUCUACCCAACGUGAGUAUACUGAACAAAUGAAUUCUAGAAUUGUAAAAUAAUGCAUUUGAGUUCCUUUAGUACAUCCACAUUUGCUGAUUGUACAUAGCAGUAGUGGAUACUAACACAAAAAGCCUUUCAUUGAUGCCAACAAUCCACACUUCUAUGUUUAAACUUUUGUCCUCAUAUGUUAACUUCAAGAGUGUUCUCAGACUGUGAAGCAUUUGUUUCUGUUCUAUGUUUAAGUUUUUGCUCUUAUAUUUAAAUUUCAAGAGCUUUCUCAUACUGUGAAGCAUUUGUUUCUCUCUUUAAGUUGUACAAUAGUCAGAUGACAAUGGGAUCUUUAACUCUCUAUGAAGAAAAUGACUCUCAUCCUAGAAUUCUACAGAGGUUUAGGACUUUGUAGCGGUGAAGAUGGCAGGGGAGAGGGAGGAGAAGUGUAAUACAGAUCAGCGCUUUGUGUAAAUGCCUCUCUCUCAGUGUGAGUUGCUCUAUUUAUCAAGAUUGCAUUCCAUCUAUCGUGUUUUGUUGUUUGUGUUUUAUUUCAUAUUAUAUAAACCACCCUGCUUCCAAUGGCAUCACAUUAUGAGGUACAUUGUUUCCAUUUGCUCCAUGGUUGGUGAUGGUAUUAAUGUGUCCCAUAGAGUUUCCCAUCAUUUACACCAGUCACUAGUGUUUCUCUUCUUUUAGAGAUGUUUGAGGCAGAGUCUUGCUUCAUGGCCCUGGAUGGUCUAUUUUUACUUUCUUAGCAAAUAAUUAAUGGGACAACAGUUUGAUUCCAUGUAACUAUAUUGCUGAUGGUUAACAUUCAGGUUACUACUCAUCUGUUGUUGACUUUUGACUCAAUCAAUGAUAACUGGUUCUAACUGUGCCUUUCUCUUUGUGUUGGUAACUGGAGUUCUAUGUAAUACUUCUCUCCCAUUUUGACUGAGUAAUUUAUUUCUAAUUUCAACAUAUUUGUUCCUAUUUUUCACAAUGAUUUUAUGGUGUUGCCAUCUUAUUUUGCUGCUCAAAUCUUUUAAGGGAGUAGCAUGCUUAUUUUCCUGCUUGCUGUUGAAGUGGAAUGUCAUAUCUUCUCCUGAACCUUUCUUGCCUUUUCCCAAAGUAAGGUCACUGUCAAAACCUGAGAUUUCUUCCUCAGAAUAGACAAGGCAUCACUGAGCUUUCUAGAACAUAUGUAACAUUUCAUUUGCUUUUCACUUUGACCCACAUUUCUUGGAUUGUUUUGUUGGUGUUAUUGAUGAUGUUGUUGUUAUUGUUGUUACAAAGGAAGUCAACAGUUAAGUUUCAAAUAAUCACUUGGACAAGAAAAGUCUGUGUCCCAGCAACCCUCUGGUCCUGAUGAGGCCUUCAACUUCUGUGGUACCUUGUCCCCAUCAUCAGCCUCAUCCCUGGUUCACAUUUAUUAGGGCAGUGGUUCUCAAUCUUCCUAAUGCUGCUACUCUUUAAUACAGUUCCUCAUGUUGUGGUGACCACCAACCAUAAAAUUUUCAUUGUUACUUCAUAAUUGUAAUUUUGCUACUGUUAGGAAUUGUAAUAUAAAUAUCUGAUUUGCAGAAUAUCUGAUAUGCAAUACCCAUGGGGUCUCAACUCAGGUUGAGAACAGCUGCAUAAAAGGAUGGUUUCUAUUCUCACCACUUUGUAACCUCCGGGUGAACUUGGGAAGGAAAAAGCCUGCAUCAUUAUCAUCAUUAAACUCUAAGAAAAACUAGCUUCACCUUCCACUGUGAGUGAGGGUGCUACAUAUCACAUUACAACUGUUGAAAAAAAUGAACUGUUGAAUACUUUUGAAUUCACCCCAGAUCCACUGCUGGCAGAGUUGUUGCAAGAUCUUGUGACUUAGCUCAUUAAUGAAUCUCUUCAUGCAUCAAGGCACCACACUUCAAAACCCUGGUAACUAAAUGUCAAAAGAAUCUGUUUCCUUUGCUAUUUUGUGUCUAUUGUUUUAUGCAUUUCAAUACAUAGUUUAGGGGAAAGGUCUAAUGCUUCUUCAGAAUACAAAGAUAAUUGGGACACAACACACAGAGCUCUCACAUUAAAGCAUGAUUUAGCUUCCUCCAUCCCAGACUGCUAUAUCCUAAAUAGGAACUCUUUGACUUUUGUUCUAGAAAAACAUAGUCAAAUUAGGGUACCUGACAUUCAUUGUUCAAAUUUUAAUUACAUAUUCAAAAGAAAAUCAUGCCCAUAUUCUGAACCUUGAGCACCAUUCCUGCUUCUUUUUCCAUGAGUAGAGAAAAUAAUAACCAUGUUCACAACACAAAUUCUAAGAUCUGUUUUGUGCUCUCUCUUUAUCCAAGGUUGCAUCCUCUUAUACAGAGUUUUUAAAAGUCUGUAAGUUAGAUGAUGGGCUAAACAGAUGAGAAUGGGAAUUCCUGCCUUUCACUUACUAACUCAGGAGAGCUGGAGAAUUAUUAAAAAAUAUAAAACUGAAUCAACCCUCAAUUUUCUCACUCAUAUAAGAAUCACAAUAAAAGCUGUAUCCUUCUAUCACAUGGCAAAUUGAAUCACUGAUCAAUGAGAUCACUUACUGUAAACGUUCAGCACAUUAUGUGGCCUGUAAUUGGUGACUACUUAGUAUCUUCCUGAAAAGUUUACUUUCACGUUAAAUAAACAUGUAAUAACUUAGUCAAGUGUACCCGGGGGUAGCCACCAACUUUGAAAGAAUAAUGACCAAAUAAUAUUGCCAUGCCAUCUUCCCAUAUUCAUUUUUUCUAUUCCUCCUGUGGGUUUUGAGCACUGCUAAGAAGUGGAUAGAGGACCAUUUUACUUCUGUUUCUAGUUGGUUUCAUCGUUUUGAGUGAUGAAGGUCAUUUAUCUGGUCAAGAGCAAUAAAGUGUAAGUGUGUUUCUUGCUUUUCUGCCUUGCCAUGCUGUCAAUUUGAUGGAAUGCCAAAAGCUUCUGUGAUGAUUUACUUGAUGUGGGCAGAUUAAUAGAUACACGGAACACUCAUUUCCACUCCGAGUUCAGAGGAAUCCAUGUCUCCGAUCUGAUCCUUUAUUGAUUUCAUAGACUUAGGCAGCUUUGAGGCCAGCCUUUCACGGUGCUGAUGACAAGGCUAGGGCCAUGUCAAGUACAGAGCAAUCAUCUCUACACGCAUUGCCAGGGACAAUACAUCCAACUGAGUAGGAUAUUUAAAAAAAAAAAAAAACAACAACAAAACAAAAACCUGAGGGUCUGCCAAAAAAAGGGCCACCCUUCCAAUAUGCCGUUUAUGAAAUAGGUACUGAAAAAUGAUCUGAGAGGCAUUUAUAAGUGGAUAUUGUCCCUCUAUUUAAUAGAAACAGUAUCGUCUGCCAAGAACAGAGCUCAGGAACCUUAAAGUUGGGGCGAUAAAGACAUUAAAGCUGCAGCAGCUAUAAAAGGGACAGGAUUUAUUUCUCAAUAAAUAAGGAAUUGAGCAUCCUUCCUGUUUUCCACUGUGCCCAAAGCUCUUGUUCGAUUGGUGCAGGACUGUACAGACACUGCACUACUGAAGCUUCUCUUCAUGUUGUGUCAACUUUUGAUGAGUCCUCAAUCACAGCAGGACACACAGGUGCUGCUCCUUUGUAGGUUGGGAUGGCAGAAGAGAAAUGCAGUGAAAUAAGUUCAAGAAUUUGCAUCUGAAACGGGAACUGGAGUUCUAAAAGAGAAGAAGAAGCAACGCCCCCACAGUAAAUACACAGAUCAAUGAGAGAGGUUCUGGGAUUAUUCCAACAGAGACUCAUGGUUAAGACAAGAAUAAAAGGUUAAUAGACACUUCAAGGUCCUUCUUGUUUGAAUGUCUAAGAUUCAGUAAAUAAACGUCAGAGAGAAGGUACUGUAGCUUAACAUAUGCAGCAGUUUUAUCUGCACUGUGCUGACAUUUUCUACUCUCAUCUGGUACAUUCUGUAAACUCUAGAUAAAUUAUUAUCUUGCAGUCGUAGCCAAAGGAAUAAGCAGCUCGCUGUGGUAUCACUAUAAUCACCGUAGGAGUGUUACAUGAUCAGUGUGUUGCCUCUCCAGCAUUUUCUCAAAUACUCUCUGCAUUUGUGUGAUCAGAGCCUUCCCUUGGCGGGGGAGAGACAGCCUCUGACAAUGGCUUUCAGGCAGCCCUUCAGCCCCCAAAUGAGCAGAAGGAAAUCAAGUUGAGGAAAUGAGUGAGACCAAUAGCUUCAAGCGGGGAAAUGGAAAGGAAUUCAACUGACCAAAUCCGAGCCCAAACACACGUCCACAGGCCACACAGGAUCCUUAGACGUGGCUGGUGAUGUUCUUUUCGAUGGGGUCUUUCUGUGUUAUCUAAACUGACCUCGGACUCCUGGCCUCUGGAGGCCCUCUUAUCCUAGACUUCCAAGUGGUUGUGGCUCCAGGUGCAUGCUAUUGCACUCAGCCGAAGAUUGGAGAUUUUGAAGAACUCUAAAUGAUAUUCCGUUACAGCUGACUCCAGUAAAUCCUCUCUCACUUGUUUAAUGCCUAUAUCUCCUGAAUCUGAGCCCUGAGUCUAUAAAAAAUGGUGACGAUCACUAAUCCAGUUAGCGACAACAUGAAAGGAGAUGAGUUGAAGAUCAAGUGUACCUUUGUAGCAAGUGGCAAUAAUAAUAAAUAAAAAGAUAAAUGUAGA